UGGAAAAUUCCUAGCGCUUGACCCCCCUUGCAGUGAACAAGAAAAAGGGUGCCAGGUGCUAGGGACCAGGUACCUCUUCUUUUGGAAGUCAGAAGCCAGAAGUCGCCUGUGCUCUUAGCUUUCUGUCCCCAGCAGAGCUCCUGGAAAGGUAGUGUUGAACAAACACAACAAAACAGGAACCGGACUUUACACCACAUAAAUGUCCUCAAA